GCUCCACAUAUACCCAUCUUGGAUUCCAAGGUACAUACGCCAUUGCCAACAAGGUCUUGAUAGAAUAUAUAUAGGCGUUCAUUCCCGGAGCUCCUCUGAUUCGAUCUUGUCCACCGCUGCAUGAAAGCUUUUGCAUCUAUAUAUAUAUCGUUCUGCUGCUUCUCCAGCUACUUUCAGCUAGAAUCGAGCUGGUGCUCUCUUUGUGCGUGGUUCCUUCACAUAUAUAGUCUACAGUAUCAGUAAGGCGUGCGAUAUGGCACUAUCAGCUUCCCUGGUUCAGCAAGAACUGCAGCAGCCUGCAGAGAGGCAGUUGAGGAACCAGCUCGCUGCAGCCGCGAGGAGCAUCAACUGGACCUAUGCCCUCUUCUGGUCCAUUUCAAGCACUCAACCAGGAUUGACCGACAAAAACGCACGGAAGAGAAAAGAUAUACGCGACUCGGAAGCAUGUAACUUUACACGGAACAUGGUGACUUUUCCAAGUUCUAAAAGAUUAGGAGGAUGGACUAAGAGUUGUU